UUGUCUCAAAGAUUAAGCCAUGCAUGUCUAAGUAUAAGCAAUUAUACCGCGAAACUGCGAAUGGCUCAUUAAAUCAGUCAUCGUUUAUUUGAUAGUACCUUACUACAUGGAUACCUGUGGUAAUUCUAGAGCUAAUACAUGCUAAAAGCCCCGACUUCAGGAAGGGGUGUAUUUAUUAGAUAAAAAACCAACGCCCUUCGGGGCUCCUUGGUGAAUCAUAAUAGCUUAACGAAUCGCAUGGCCUUGCGCCGGCGAUGGUUCAUUCAAAUUUCUGCCCUAUCAACUUUCGAUGGUAGGAUAGUGGCCUACCAUGGUGGCAACGGGUAACGGAGGGUUAGGGCUCGACCCCGGAGAAGGAGCCUGAGAAACGGCUACUACAUCCAAGGAAGGCAGCAGGCGCGCAAAUUAUCCAAUCCCGACACGGGGAGGUAGUGACAAUAAAUACUGAUACGGGGCUCUUUUGGGUCUCGUAAUUGGAAUGAGAACAAUUUAAAUCCCUUAACGAGGAACAAUUGGAGGG
rnacentral:rRNA from 1 species